rnacentral:rRNA from 1 species
AUAUGGCUGCACGUCGAUGCCGCGUACGCCGGCAGCGCCCUGAUCUGCCCCGAGUUCCAGCAUCACAUCGACGGCGCCGAGCUCGCGGACUCCGUGAGCAUGAACCCGCACAAGUGGUUCCUCACCAACAUGGACUGCUGCUGCCUGUGGGUGGCGAGCCCGGCCGCGCUCACCACCGCGCUGUCCACCAACCCAGAGUACCUCAGCAACAUCACAGAAGAAAGUGCAGGCGCGGGCGUGGUCGACUACAAGGACUGGCAGAUCCCGCUGUCACGGCCGUUCCGUGCCAUGAAGCUGUGGUCGGUCCUGCGCCGCUACGGCGGGGCGGGCAUGCGGGCGUACGUACGGCGGCACGUCGAGAUGGCCAAGUGGUUCGAGCAGGCGCUGGAGGCGGACGGGCGGUUCGAGGUGGUAGCGCCGACGAGGUUCUCCCUCGUGACCUUCCGCCUCCGUCCAAGGCACGAGGGCGACGACGAUGCUGUUGAUGGCUUGAACCGUAGGCUGCUCGUGGCGGUGAACGCCAGCGGGCGGGCGUUCAUGACGCAUUUCGUGGUGGACGGCAAGUUUGUUAUCCGUAUGGCCGUGGGC